rnacentral:rRNA from 1 species
UACGUAGGGUGCAAGCGUUAAUCGGAAUUACUGGGCGUAAAGCGUGCGCAGGCGGCUUUGCAAGACAGAUGUGAAAUGCCCGGGCUUAACCUGGGAACUGCAUUUGUGACUGCAUGGCUAGAGUUUGGCAGAGGGGGGGUAGAAUUCCACGUGUAGCAGUGAAAUGCGUAGAUAUGUGGAGGAACACCGAUGGCGAAGGCAGCCCCCUGGGUCAAGACUGACGCUCAUGCACGAAAGCGUGGGGAGCAAACGAGGAUUAGAGUACCCG